rnacentral:rRNA from 1 species
GACGAACGCUGGCGGCGUGCUUAACACAUGCAAGUCGAACGGUGACCCAGGGCUUGCCCUGGUGAUCAGUGGCGAACGGGUGAGUAACACGUGGGCAACCUGCCCCUGACUUCGGGAUAACUCCUCGAAAGAGGAGCUAAUACCGGAUACGACCACUUCGGACAUCCGAUGGUGGUGGAAAGUUUUUCGGUCAGGGAUGGCCGCGGCCUAUCAGCUAGUUGGUGGGGUAAUGGCCUACCAAGGCGACGACGGGUAGCCGGCCUGAGAGGGCGACCGGCCACACUGGGACUGAGACACGGCCCAGACUCCUACGGGAGGCAGCAG